AUUGAACGCUGGCGGCAGGCCUAACACAUGCAAGUCGGACGGUAGCACAGAGAGCUUGCUCUCGGGUGACGAGUGGCGGACGGGUGAGUAAUGUCUGGGGAUCUGCCCGAUAGAGGGGGAUAACCACUGGAAACGGUGGCUAAUACCGCAUAACGUCGCAAGACCAAAGAGGGGGACCUUCGGGCCUCUCACUAUCGGAUGAACCAAGAUGGGAUUAGCUAGUAGGCGGGGUAACGGCCCACCUAGGCGACGAUCCCUAGCUGGUCUGAGAGGAUGACCAGCCAACCUGGAACUUAGACACGGUCCAGACGCCUACGGGAGGCAGCAGUGGGGAAUAUUGCACAAUGGGCGCAAGCCUGAUGCAGCCAUGCCGCGUGUAUGUAGAAGGCCUUCGGGUUGUAAAGUACUUUCAGCGGGGAGGAAGGCGAUGUGGUUAAUAACCGCGUCGAUUGACGUUACCCGCAGAAGAAGCACCGGCUAACUCCGUGCCAGCCGCCGCAGUAA
rnacentral:rRNA from 1 species